rnacentral:rRNA from 1 species
AACGAACGCUGGCGGCAGGCCUAACACAUGCAAGUCGAGCGAGGACUUCGGUCCUAGCGGCGGACGGGUGAGUAACGCGUGGGAACGUGCCCUUUGCUUCGGAAUAGCCCUGGGAAACUGGGAGUAAUACCGGAUGAGCCCUUUGGGGGAAAGAUUUAUCGGCGAAGGAUCGGCCCGCGUUGGAUUAGGUAGUUGGUGGGGUAAUGGCCUACCAAGCCGACGAUCCAUAGCUGGUUUGAGAGGAUGAUCAGCCACACUGGGACUGAGACACGGCCCAGACUCCUAAGGGAGGCAGGAGUGGGGAAUCUUAGAAAAAGGGGGAAAACCUGAACUAGCCAAGGCGGGUGAGCGAUGAAGGGCUUAGGGUUGGAAAGCCUUUUCAGCUGGGAAGAUAAUGACGGUACCAGCAGAAGAAGCCCCGGCUAACUCCGUG